ensembl:lncRNA
CACUCCACUGUCAACUGUCUGCAUCAGUUUGCAGAUCACUUUCUGAUCUGCUGGGUUGCUUUUACCCUCCUGGUGGGAGAGGUGCAAAUUAAAGCUAACAACAACCAGCUGCGCCCGCGCACUCAGUCUCAGCAACCACGAGUGAAGACCAACUUUAUUCUGGUGACAUUUACUUUCUUUUCACUGCUUAUUCUGAAAUGUGAAACCCUGGCUGUUUCAAAACUAUUUCGGGACACUGUGAAAAUCAAAAACGCCACCUUGAUUUGCUGUGAGGAGUUCAUGUCUCUCUAUAUAUCAAAGAUCAAAUUCACAGAUCUUUUUGAUGGCCAUGUACGUUUAUGAAGCAUCAUCAAAGCAGUUUCUCUGCAGCAAAGAUGGCUUCAACAUUACCAUACACAAGCAUGCAACAAUGCCCCCCCUGAAUCUGGAUACAGUCUGGAUCCCUUCUGGCCAAAAUCCCAACUGUAAACCCAAGAAAAGAUCAGCUGAUGGCAUCACUUUCAACUUUCUGUUCAGUGACUGUGGCACUCGGUCUAUGUAGCUGAGCGUGGCCAGCCCGUGUAUGUGGAACUGUUUGCAGUCAAACAUGAGAACAGGGACUUGGUUCUGCUGCUGGAGGACAGCUGGGCUACACUGACUGAGGACUCAGAUGGCCCACAAAGAUGGAAACUGCUGCUGGUGACAGCCACAAAACAGUUAUGCUGCAAGUUUCCAGUAGCCUACAGAACUAGGAUGAUCCUCCAUUUACAACUGGUGUAUUUCCACUGCAAUGUAGAGAUCUGUAAGGGGCCAGAGUGCCUGCAGCCUUGCAGUAGUUGGAAAUCGACUUUUAGACCGUUCAUCUUUUGUCUUAUAAAUCUAAAAAUAACACUGAUCUCACACGUUAACAUGUAACACUGUAAACAAAAGAUUGUUUUUCUUUGUUUUGGGGGAGUGCAUAAAUCAGGAAGACCUCCUGGAUCACUAUAUGACAAUCAAAUCAACCAAGGACUGUACAGUUUGUAAUGAAUAUUAAAUUGUACCUCCCAAAAGACGUUUUCCUUAUAAUAUUUAAUCACAUAUUUAAUUCUUCUCCAA